rnacentral:rRNA from 1 species
UACGUGGGGGGGCAAGCGUUGUCCGGAAUCAUUGGGCGUAAAGCGCGUGUAGGCGGCUCGGUAAGUCUGCUGUGAAAGUCCAGGGCUCAACCCUGGAAUGCCGGUGGAUACUGUCGAGCUCGAGUCCGGAAGAGGCGAGUGGAAUUCCUGGUGUAGCGGUGAAAUGCGCAGAUAUCAGGAGGAACACCAAUGGCGAAGGCAGCUCGCUGGGACGGUACUGACGCUGAGACGCGAAAGCGUGGGGAGCAAACAGG